CGUGCUCCCAGCAGGGCAAGUGGCCUUUCUGUGGGCUCUGACCUUCCGUAGGCAGCAAGGGAUCCUCCGUGAAGGGCAGGCGGGCCAGGAAGCUCCAAAGGGGCUCUGGCAGCCCCCAAACCAUGACAACUGAGGUUGUUUGCCAGAAAAUAAGACAAAGGCUUGUUGCUGCCAGAAUCUGCCCUUCCAACAACAAGGAAUAGCAGUAAGUGAGCAAGUAGGAACACACAGAGCUGUACAGAGAGCAGAAGAGAAUGGCUCCUAUUAUUUUGCCCUUCAUUCCUCUCCAGUGUGCUGCUCUCCAGAGGCAGGGGUGCUGUGAACUGACACUUUUAUUUGCAUUGCCUCUAACCAGGACUCAAGGCUUUAUAAGAGAAGAAAAGAAAAAAAAAAGGGUGGACAAAGAUCAGAUGAUAUAUCUGUUCCCCAGCAUAUUCUCCAUAACUAGAAGGACAAUAAUAAUGCUGGUGAGGUCCCUGAUAUAUAAGGUGAGCUGUUCUCCCCUCCUCUUCAUUAUGAGAUGAGUAGCAAAGGAUUUGGGAUGGACUCCUUGCACCUGUUCAGUGCAGACUCCCCAGCCGUAACAUGUCCUGUCCCAUUUCCCCACGGUCACUGCAGGGACACAGUCCCUGUACCUCAGUGCCACGAGAGCCUUGUCACAUAGCACCACCAUCUGCUGCUUAGGACCAUGCUGGGAGCACUGAACUCCCUGCACCACCCUGAGGGACUCCUGUGGCACAGGGAGAUUCUUCCCUCCUGCACCUGUGGUGGCUGCUGCACUCAAGGACCUUCCCAAAUGCAUGUGCUCCUCCCACAGGAUAGGGAGAACUUUCCCCAAGUGCCUGGCCUUUGAUGGCUGCUUCUGCAGUCAAACAAGUGCAAACUGGCUGGAUCCAUUUUAAUCUUCCACUGCUUCCCAAAGUACAGCCUCCCCUUUGAAAACCUCUGCUGCAAGAUUAGAAAGCAAUGCUCUCAGGACUUCCUUCUACGGAAGUGUAAAAGCCAGGCUGGCACUCCAACACUUUGCAAGCACCCGACAGAAAAGUUUCCUCAUUUGUGGUAAUGACAGAAAAUGUCCCAGCCUAGAGAAGUUAUGGUUAUUCAUGGAAUAUUAGCCCCAAAGACUUGAAAUGCAAUGUUCUGGCUUAAUGCAAACCCAUGGGGUCCCGAAGAGAAAAGACCAAGGAAGCUCUGGUUGGCAUCAGAAGGCAACUCAAGCUGUUUGCUUCUUAUAUCCAUGACAGCUGAGCACUGACUUCUUACCAGCUGGGACACUGCUAAUCAACACAGAGACCAGGAAGAUGGCUACAGAAGCAUUCACUGAAUGGGUUUAUGCUCAAGUCCCUCUUUCAAGCAGCCUCAUCUGCUUAAAAGAAAUGAGCCUGAAGGGACAGGUCCUCCUUGUCACCUUCCCAUUCUACAUAGGAGCACAGCCACAUCCCUGGAGAUGCAUGUCUGCUCCAAAAGAUGUGAUAUACUCUGAGUACUGGCCUCUGCCAGAGCCUGGGGGUACCCAUCACCUGCAGCCUGAAAUGCCCCAGAGUUCAAAGCAGAUUUCAGCUAAGGAUCUUGAAGUGCUGUACAAACAGCCAUUAAUCCUCAAACCAUCCCUGGGAACCAGGCCUGUAAUUAUUUAGCACACCAUUUAUCUCUGGAACUCUCUGUGCCCGUUCUCCCAGCCUGGGGAUGAAGAGAGGUAAAACAAUACCUACCAUUUCAUAACAAACUGCAAAUUAAAUCGACCGCAGCUCAGCCGUUAAGGGAAAUGUUACCUUUUCCAUAAUCACCUCCUGCAGGCAAGUGCAACAGCUAUUCUUUAACAGCUAGGUAAACUUUGACAAAAAAAAAAAUGACAAGCUCUGAGUGAGACAGCCAACAAGUGGCAAAAGAUUUCCAAGAGCAGAAAUCAGGAAUCCUAUCUCUUGGUUUCUUGAUUUAUCAACUGAAUUGUCUCUGCUCCACCCCUCGCCCCCCUUAAAGAUGACCUCCAAAAAAAAAAAAAAUGCUGCCUAUGCCCUUUAUGUGACUUUGUAAUAGAUUCAGGAGCCUGUAGGAUUUCAGUCCAAUGGAAAAAGAUUAAGAGUUUUUCCACUUGUUUUCUUACAUUACAAAUGCAGGUCUUCUGGAGCCUAGAAGUCUCCAGUCUGUCUAGAUCAUGAAAAAACUAGGACCAAACAAAGACAAGAGGGCGAGAACGGGGUGGAGAAGAGGAGAGGGGAGAGGAGAUCAAGCCAAACGCACAACGUGCUGUUUGCAAGCAACAACUGCAUAAACACAGUAACAAAAUGACGCACAAAAUAUCAGUAAGAAAUUACGUGCUAUUCAAGAGUUGAUUUUCCUGCAGCUCCAGACAGGGUGUGAGAAUCCACAGAGGUCAAACUCUGAGUACCCCAGGAGAUCUGCAGAGCAACAAGAAGAGGGAAAAAAAGAAACAGAUCCUCGCACCUCUGUUUUUCCUUCUCAAGCAGAAGCCUUAAGUGGCCUGAGAUUUCAAAGAAGACAGACCUAACAUAGAGGAAUGAGGAGAACUGGGUAAGAAAAGCAGAUCAAUGGCUGUCCUUUCUCUGCCUGCUGUGUUGGCCAGAUUCAUGUAGAGGAAUCCCUGGAGAGAAGUUGAAGGGAAGGAGCAUGGGCACGGGUGGAGUAAACCAGUAAAACAAAAGGCAAUUAAAAAGUGAAGCGGAGAUGGAGAAAGCGACAGAAGGACAGGGCUGGAGCAAAUGUCAGCACACAGAGGAAAUGGUCCCACUUCAAUCCAAAAAGCAGAAAGGUCACUCAGAUGGUGACAAAGCUGCCUCUUCUCUGCCCUCUUCCUACACAGCUCCCUCCCCUCUCUGUUCCAGGGAGGCAGCAGGAUCCCUGCUCUGGUCUAAUCCCAGAAGGCAGUAAAGGAAAAAUUCAGUCAGUUCCAGCUGUACCUGUUUAAACUACCUCUGCAGAUGGGAGGUUUAAUUAGAGCUAGUCUGCAGUAUUCAGGCUUUGCACUGCUUUAACAGGCUGGGAUCAGAACCUGUGUGACCAGAGGAUGGAGGGAAGGGCAGUGAGGGGCGGAAGCGGGGCACAGGGUGCUGGGGGAUGUUGCUGCUGUAUUGAAAGAAGUGCAGUUGAACAGGUCCUGUCUAGAUGUGGCUAAGGAGUACACAGACCACGUUUGCACAAGGGCAUUUUGUUGUAAGCCACUGAGUAUUUCAGGGGCUUAAAUCCAAUUCAGGAAGCAGAAGCCUUUCCUCAGGAAAUCUGUUUUUCCAGUUCUUUGCAGAUAGCUCCUCCAGAAACCUCCAAGCACAGAGCAUUAAAUAAUAAUCUGUUAAAAUUACGUCCCUCUUGUCCAACUACCUGCCAGCAAUGCCUAAUUGCUAUCUCUAUGUGUCCUGAAACCCAGAAGUCCAAGAACUGCCUGCAGUAACCAAGUGUAAAUCUUGUGGCAACCCCUUCCCUAUGUCAGGGAGCAGGUAAAUACACUCCAGACUGGUGCCUUGAGCUAUCAGGUCCCCCAUUAGAGGAACCUGGAAGGGAUUGUGACGGCUCUUCGUCGAAUGCCACAGCAGCCAAGCAAUUGCUGAUCUUAGAGCGGUGCCUGCUGGCCAGUCAUAUCAGAAGCACUUGGAAAUAUUUCCACAGUGGACAAAAUUGCAGUCAAGUUCAGGAAACCAUUUCUAGGGAAGAGGAGCAUGUCCAGCUCUGCUGUGCUUCUGCCAGAAUCUGCCAUCCAAGUUCCCACAUGCUGCAAACAAGCUGUCCUAAUUCACAAAAUUAGGUCUGGUAUUUACUUCUAUCAGAUCUCCAUCCCCACACUGUUUCUUCUCUUUACAGUUUUAUGAUUUUCAAGCCAAUCACAAUGUAAUUGAUGACUUUUUAUUAUUUUUUGUAUAACUGAUGUAUCUUGAUAAUGCAAUUCCCCGUAAAAGUUCAGCUUCUCAACAGUGUCAUCUCAACAAGAUCCUUAACCUGUUUGGUGUUGGAUGCUGAGAACAAAAGGCACUUCGCAUCACUUAGGCCUUUUGAAAAGGCCAAAAUUUUACAGACCAUUGCCAUACAGAAACAUGCUCAAAACAGCAACAAUGCCACUUGCGUAGGCUGAGUGAAACAGAAGAAACUGGAUGUUAUCUGUACAUCUGUUUGAGCUCCCCCAUGCUGUACAUAAACCAAAACUUUCAGCUGAAUAUGUAUUUAAGGUAAACACUGGCCAAAUGUCUGUGGUGAAUUGACAACUGCACAAAUUUGAGCUGUCCUACUGUCUCAGAAGAUGAAAGGACCCUCUCGCCACAUCCCCACUCCAGCUUGGGAAAUGGUCAGAGGCUAUGAUGUGGACCUUAUAACUCAAAAACAUCUGAAAGAAAGUGACUUACUUAAAAAUGCAUCUGGGGUUUGCACAAAAGCUUGUGGGUUACACAAAGUAAAUGUAAAAAAAUCAAAUGAAAUCUUGAAGCAGAUAAUUCUUCUAUCAACAACAGGAAUCUGCUGAAAAUAAAAGUCUAUUUUGGGAACUGGAACAAUAAGGGAAGACUGCAGAAAAUACUGAAUUCAGCAAUCUCUAGUCUUUCAGUGUUUGACUUCGCCACUGCAUCGAACUUCUGUCCUAAUUUAUUUGGCUUCAGAAAGACAGAAGUGAAAAACAACAGAUAAUGAAUAAUUAUUAAUGUGGAGCAUAUUACUAGUGAUUACAAUGUUCCAAAUCACCAUACGCAUGUUACCACUGUGACGCUGUAGUGAUUAGAAAAAGCAUAUUAUGAAUUCAGGUUAAUAUAUUCCAAAGUUGACCAGAGGGCUUUCAUACUUAAUCAGUGCCGUUCUGCAAAACUUAUAGUUCAGAGCCAUGAUGGAGCCUGAGAACUGUAGUCUGACUGCAUUCCAUACGGUUGUUUACUUAGAGAUCAUGUAACAGUGAUCCCAAAUUAGGUAUUGUUUCCCAUGACCUUUUUUGCCUGUUAGGUUGGCCACAGGAACCAAGCAGGUCCACACCACUGGAAGCUAGUGCAGCUUUUCCCAGGACCCUGGCGCACUUCAGAGUAGAUAUAAAGGGAGAUGUGAUCUGCUGCAUCCCUGAGUCAAAACAUCUUUUCAGAGGGAACGAGUCUCCCAUCCCUGUGGGCUGGCUCUCAACCUCAAAGUCCCACAGCCAGCUCCUUACAGUUUUCUUAUUAAAUGCUUUGGCCCAUCAUGCCUGCUGGCUUUGCUUUACCCUAAAUCCUGUUUAGGUUGGUGAGAUCAAUUCCCCACACAUACAGGCCCCUCUUUCAGAUGUCCUAAAGAUAAGUUAAAAUAUUGAAUGUCUCACCAAUUUCUAAUUUCUCUAGGAAAAAAACCAACUAUAUUGGCCCUUGAAAACAUCUACAACCAACCAUCCCACUUGGCAAAUCACCCCCAGUGUCACCAAAUGCCCAUUGAGUAAGUGGGCAGCAACCUGCCUCCUACAGCUCUUAAUGCAAAACAGCUAAUCCAUAGGUGAUUAAUCUCAAGGAGCCUUUUUCUCUCCCUCUGAAUCAAUAGCCUUCCUUGGGAAGCUUCACACUCCACACAGCAGAGGGAAGCUGGGAAUAAUUUCCUGCACUGCUGGAUCUAAGUCCUACCCCAGCAGAGCAAUGUCACCCAGACACACAGAACUUCAGGCUGCCAUUCUGGCACUUAAAUCUUCUUGCCUCUUUUUCAAGCGUUGUCUUUCUGAGACACCACCAUCAAGGUGAUUAGUUUAGUUAAAUUAGUUGUUUAGUUUAGCUUAACAUUUACUUAAAACUGAGCACUUGCAACUGGAAGUGAAACAUCUGAAAAUGUGAUUCUCAAUUGGACCUAGAGGAAAAUGCCGAUAUCAGUGGAAAAUGCCGAUAUCUGUUGCCAGGACUGCAAGACACAGCUUAUUGCAGUACAAGGCCAGCACUAAAAAAGGUUAUUCUGGAAUUAAUUUAUGUUUGUAGCCCUAAAAUUGUCUAUUUUGCGUUACUCUGCACAGAAUUUCUGGACCUUUUUUGCACUUACCCCCACCAAUCACUGAUUGUUCUGUUCACUUACAUUCCAUCUUUCUGCUCCAACUCUACACUCUCUUCUCCCCUCUCUUCCCCAGGAAGCAAAAGAGAAUCCAAACUACAUACUUGAAGUGCACUGAUACUCCCCAGUGAAAAGCAAUAUAAAGACAAAUGUAACUGGUAUAUGAUAGAAGAGCAAAACACAUUUUAUAUUGGAAAGAAACUUGCCAUUUAUAAGGCUAGGAAUUAUUUUUUUUCUAGGUAGAGAGGCACAGCUGAUAGAAAAGGUUGAUAAGCUUUGUGACCCACAAGCAUAUUCUCAGAUAUCCAACAGGGAUGAAGAAGCAGCUGCAUUUUUCAUAUGAAACUUCAUAGAUAAGAAAUUUAAAUGUGUCCUUGAGCACAGGAUACACUGGUUUCUCCCAUGACUGUACUUGUUAAGCCACACUGGCCAACAUGGUGCCCCACAAUUAACCCUACUCACCACCUUUUAAGGAGGAAAAUUCCCUUGAGGUCAUGCCUAAGGCAAAGUUCCUCAGAAUUUUGCUACAUGCUCCUUUGGGUCCCUAGAAAUGUUUCAUGUCCUUGUACCUGCCCCACAGUUCAAACUGCACACAGAUGUGGUCAAGCACACAUGCCCACCUCGCCCUUUUGCUUUGGGUGUCCCUAAAUUAGGCUGCUACUGCUUGAAGAUGAUUGCAAACCUGUGUUCCAGCAGCAGGAUGCCACACAUGGCGUGUGUCACCUCCUUGCAGUUUGCCAGGCAUAAUCAGUCCCUGGAUUUAAGGCACAGAUACAAGUCAGCUCACAAGGCAGCCACGCUGCCUGCUGGUGUUCCUGCUGUCCCAAGCUUUUGCUGCAGUCCUGCUCCUGGAAGCCAACCCUCUCAUCUCUGCUUGUGCAGCUCCAUAUGAAGCUAUCUCUUAGGCACCGAUGAAGGCUGUCUCAACUCACAGGACUGCUUUCACACUGGAAUCUGUAAGAGAUUGUUCCCAACGUUUGCACAGCCAGUCUGAUGCAUGAGAUGCAACUUUUCAACCAGCACAGAGAGAUCCAGCACAGUGUGUUUGCAAACAACUGAAAGUUGGGCAUGUCAGCACAACACGAAGCUGCCUGCACAACUGUGGCAUGCGUUUUGUGACCAAAAUCCACACUUCCAGCUCUACAGCAGAUAUUGAGCUCUGAUCUCAUUUAUUCUGGGAUUAAUUAGGAACAACAUCUCCUGUAGUCACUGCUUUCAAAGGUUAAAGCUGGCAUAAAGCAAGGAGAGUCAGGACCAAGGAAUCAGUCAGGCUAUGACUUAUGAGCACAAGUACUUAACAGCAGCCUCUACACACUCUGAGUUUGCUUAUUAACAAACACAGGUCUUACUACCAGCAUCAAGGAUGCUGGAGGGCAGGCUCAGUUCCUGAAAUACAGUCAGCAUUUCCUGGGUUCAAGUUUUUCACAGGCCAGAAGUAACUGUGUUCCAAGUGAGCUUCUACUCUCUGCUAUUGAAAACUGCCUGUUUUUCCAUUCACUGUCAAGUAAGAUUGGACAGAAGCUUUUCACAGCAAAACAAAGUUUAUUCUUCUUUAGUUACUGUGAGGACAAUUGAAGAGAACGCAGGAAAUGGCACUGCAAAUACUGUCACCAAAACCAGCAGGAAAUCAGGUGAAUUUAUUCUCACAAAUGUAUGACUUCACAUCCUUAUAGGAAAAAAACCCCAAAAUCUACCCCUCAUAAAACCAAAGAAACAACAAGAGUAAUUAACAAAAAAGCUUCACUGUUGCUUUGAAAACUGUGGUUUGCUGUUCUACCAGAAGUUUCUCAUGCACAGAAGAACCUGUGCAAGGUAAAAGGGUGAAAGCUGGCAGUGAGAGACUGUAGGGCCUGUAGUUCUUGGUCUUAUGUCAGCCUGCCAUGUAAAUGGGUUUUUCUACUUCUGAUCAAGCUCCAAAAUUCCACAAACUAUUCUGAAGACUUCCAGCAACUGAGGUUAAUUAACCACAACUGCCUACUAUUUUUGAAGACUGUUCUUCUUGCUUUGGAAACAAUGUCAGUUAUACCAGCUGUCAAAGACUUUUCAAAACCACACUAUAAUGAGACCUUUCUGUGUUGUUUAGUAUGAAAUUGCAUGGGAUGAAUGGAGACCAUGACACAAACUGGUAUAGUUUCUGGAACUAGUUUCAGCCAGUUCUACCAACAUUUUUUACUAUAAUUUCUCACAUUAAUAACAGAAAAGAAGGCUUUGCCCAAGCAGGCAAACAAGCUACAGGUUUUACCAUGAUAACCACAACAAAGGAUAUAUUUGUGUGGAGACUUGUUAAAAAGUUAUUGAGAAGCAGACAGCAUUAUCCUGAUAAAUUUAUUGAAGGUGGAAUGGAUAAGGACACUUGGAUCAGGAACAGUGAUCUCCAAAACCCAGCAAUCAAACAAAAAAAAAAAACAAACCUGUAUAAAAUACAUCGUUUUGGUUGUGGAUCAGUUAGUAACUUUUAAGGUUAAAUAAAAAAAUGCAUGCAUAUAUUACAAAAAGACAAGACAAGGUUUUUUUACAUCUUAAAUAUUUUUUUAUAAAUUACAUUUACAGAGAACAGUAGACAUAAAAGGUCUAGUCCUACCAAAAGAGACUUUUGAACAUUUGUACAGUUUACAGUAUACAAGCUGUACACUCAUGCAGUACAGCUGCAAAUAGAAGAAGAAGCUGUGGGAGUGGAAAGGACAAAAGUCAAAACAAGGGGAAAGCUGAAGAUUCUGAUCUUCAGUUACCAGUGUCAAACCUUCAUGAUUCUUUACACAUACCAUGUUCAAAAUGAACCAAACUGGCUUUCAAAUUUCUUAAACAGUCAGCAUGUAAACAUAAUGAAAAACACUCCAUAGCUUGAUGUUCUGAAGAUACUAAUGCAUGGCAUUUUUCUUUUUGAUUCCUUCUAAACUUCAUUACAUAACACAACUUCAGUUUUCAAGUUUUUGUUCUAGUCUCAAGCAACUUAAAAACAUACUAUUAUUUCCUAGGAGUGAGAUGAAAUUCUUAGAAAAAUAUGAAAAGUCCUAAAAGUUCAAAAAAUAUAAAAAGCUUUAAGAAAAGCCCAAACCUGUUGUUAAUAACAUCUUUGUUCCAGUGCACCAAGCUGAAAUGUAGUUUUAUCACAGAAUGAACCACUGUCAGGAGAUGAUCCAUUUACCAGGCACCUGGGAAAUCUAGGACAUAGUUUUGUCCAGAACCAAGACUAGAAAAUGCAAACUUCCCAGUGCAAACCCAUCUGGCCUGCUGAAUGAUGAAGUUUUUUUUCUGACUGUAAAAAGGCACUGAUAAAAAAAGUGAAAACCAAUCAUUUUUUGAUUUGACAACAUUCAUGCAAAUAUAUAAAACUUUGUGAAUCUCUAAAUAUUAACUACAAAGAGGUUUUAGUGUGUUAGUAAAAAAAAAAACCAUAAAACACACUAUAUAACAAACCAUAACAAAACAUAUGGCUUGUUAAAACCAUACAUAAAAUAAUUCAAAAGAUUUUGUCCAUGAUUUAUGCUAUUUGUCUUCACAUAGUAACACUAGGAAAGGAGGCUGUCUUUCCUGAAGAAGAAAAAUAGACACUGGAAACAGUUCAGCCUGUCUUCAAGGGGCUUAUUGAUGCAGCUCUGACAACUUCAUUGCUUGUGGAAGCCCUUCAAGUGAAAAGGUAGCACCUACUUCAUCACUGAAUUCUACCACUUUUCUUCCAUAUUUGUUUGAGCAACAAAGCAAUUAUUUGCUUAUGCUUUAAGAUCUGAAACAAAAGAAUAGGAAAAGCACACGGGUAAAUUACUAGGUCUUCUAGAAACUGAACUACAUGAGAAUACUGCAGGCUUUAGAUACUAACGAGGUGUUGUGAAGAUGCACCAAGACACUGUCACAUGACUCAUAACAAUCCAGUCAGAGCAGGUACAUGACCAAUGGUAUCUGAUGGCCCCUAAACAUUUUACCCAAAUUACCUCUUUAUAAUUAGGUACAUUCCAACUGGACCACUUUUAGAACAUUUAUUACUUACUACCAGCCACCUGCUAAGCAGCUGGUAACCUGUGAAGUUGUUCUGACUCCAUGACUUUGGAUCACAUAAUCAGGCAAUUGAGACACCACUUCCUUUCAAAUGUUUUAUGUCUAUAAUCUCAAUAUCAGCUGUGCAUCACGUAUGCAUAUGUUGCUGCUGCUAUUUCUUCCACACAAUAAUUCCAGGUGCUUUUGGAGUUCUCUUUUGAAGAUUGAAAAUACAGCUCUUAUUUGACAGGAAUACUGAAGGCCAAGGGAAGUUACAGUGUAGGAAGUUCAAGACUACAUGCCCAGCCUAACUCAUCACAUGAAACAUGCAUCAGCCUCUAACCAGGCUGGUUUCCAGCAAAGCACCCACAAGCCCACUUACACUGGUGUUGCACACAUAGCAACUCUACAAGGGGAGCCACCUGGAUGAGCCAGGACACCAUGCUCUUUGGUCCCAUUUUGAUAGCACUUCCUGUCCCUUCAACUAAUCUCUAGCUCAGCAUCACUCCAGGACAAGAUGUCAGGAGAUGGUCUAGGAGAGCAGAGUAUGGUGACAUAUGGUACACAACUCUGUAGGUGAUAACAAAAAGAAAGCUGUCCCUAGCCUGAUUUUCAUAAGGUCCCUGGGUAGGCUUGAAGUAUUUUUAUGAUUCAUGUGUUUAAAAUCCAAGCAGGUUUACUGCUUUACCUUAGUGAUGAUACUAAAGAACACGAUCAAAAAGCCAGUUAUGUCUGUGCGUGUUUGUUUGCUAUUUUCUCAUGUCUGUGCAGUGAGAGGGUCUGAAUAUGAAAUAGGGUUCUGUCACUUUAUAGCUUGAGGGAUAAGCAUCAGUUUUCAUUACCCCACCUACCGCCAGAACACACGAAAUGUUCUGUUCUCACACAGUUUGCAAACAGAACUGAAGCAAGCACAGCUGCAUCUGGUGCCUCCGCAUGACAUAACAACCAGACCAGCUUCAGAUGUUAAACCUUUAAGGGUGAUGCAGGAGCACAGUUGGUUAGCCCAGCAAAGCAGCACAUCAUGUGGCCCAGGAAUAAUACACUGAGUUACUUCAUUUGGCUUUCAGUAUUACUCAUUGUCAACUAACAGGAUCUGACUCAGUUCAUACGACACACCACACCUUCCUCUGCAGCUCUGCAGACUGUUCCAUGUCCGUUUCCUGGUUUCAUGACAGGUUCAUCAGCAGUUUUGUCUGCAUCACAGAGUCAGGUUUUUUAUACUCAGCCCUAACUCUCUCCCACCUUCCCACUCAUCCAUGUUUUCUCAUAUUCGGAGAUUUUUUCACCCCUCUUUUCAGCAUUAUCUUCAGCAAAUACCAGAAUUUAUAGACACAAUUGCUUGGUUGGUAAUUCAACAGAAGUGGCAAACUUGGUAAAACAAAAAACUGCAGCAGUAAGGUGCCACUUGCUUUCACACUGCUGUGCAUUUUGAGAACGUUUAAAUUGAUUAUCUGCACCAGCAGACUCGAAAGAGGAUGUGCACAAGGCAGUCCAUUAAAAACAUAAUUCUGCAGCAGUAAUAAAAUUUUAAAAAUAAAAGUACUAUUUACUUCAUCAUUAUAAUUUUUAAAUUUUUAUUUUAUGCAUAUUUUAUAAUGUACGCCAUACUUGAAUAGGGUAAUAAUUAUAUAUAACUUAUAAAUACACAUAAAUUUGGUGUGCAUGUUUGAAGUAUUUUACUGAUGUGGUAGACAAUCACAAAAGGAUUGGUGACCACUUACCUGCAAUACAAAAAUCAGAAAUUAGUAUGGGAGGCCCACAGUUACACCACUCAAGUAAGGACUGUAUAACAGACAAAAUGACAUUUUUCCCUUUUUUUUUCCAAGAAAGGAACAUCAAUUCAGUCAGCCUCUGUGUCAGUCAGCACACUCUCCCAGGACAGAGAGCUUCACCCUCACAUACCUUCUUCAGUGCAGCUAGAAGAGUUGACCGGGUGCCCCCCAUUUUCACCUUCUGCCUCCUGGGUCACUUCUGCAAGGACAAAGGCAAUACUCAGACAAUCCUGGACUUCACAACACUCUGCCUCUCUGCCCCAGAUGCAUCAAGAACACUGACUGGGAUUUGGACCAUUUGUUUGGCAACAAUAGUAACCCUGACCAACAUGCCUCACUCCCAUGGGAUCACCAUCCAACACCUCCCUUCUCUCCUCCACUCCUGAUCUGCACUAUCUUCACAAUCCCUCACCCACCCUGUAAAGGCCAAGCACAGGCUGUGCACAAGCACUCAGUGCCCGGGGUGCCAUCCAUUAGGUGGCAUUAGGCAAAAGUCACACUGAACAAAGAGUGUUCCGCAGUCCAGGCACUUACCUCCUUCAUUCAUAUCAUGGCCAUCUGCACGGUUACUGCGUGCAUACACAAUAUAGAAAGGCUCCUGGAAAGCAUCCAAAGGAGGGCCAUGAGGAUGGUGAAGGGUCUGGAGGGGAAGCCUUUUUGAGGAGGGGCUGAGGUCACUUGUUCUGUUCAGCCUUGAGGAGACUGGAGAGAGACCUCACCACAGUCCACAACUUCCUCGUGUGGGGAAGAGGAGAGACAGGUACGAUCUCCUCAUCUCAUGACCAGUUACAGUACUAGAGGAAGCUGAGUCAGGGGAGGUUUAGGCCAGAUAUCAAGAAAAGGUUCUUUCUCCCAGAGGCUGCUUGGGCACUGGAACGGGCUCCCCAGGAAAGUGGUCACAGCACCAAGCCUAACAGAAUUCAAGGAGCAUUUGAACAACACUCUCAAGGGAUAUGGUGUGAUUUUUCGGGUGUCAUCUGAAGGGCAGGAACUGGAGUCAAUCCUGAUGUGUCCUUUCCAACUCACCAGAUUUUAUGAUUCUAUGAAGGGAUCAUGGCCAGUUUUCCUGCAGGGUCAGUAACACUGACUGCUCCAUAGAACAGGCACUUACCUUCCUGAUUUACACCAUUCUUAACUAUCUGCUUGUCUUUCAGGGUCCUGUCAUUCUCAUUCAAUACUCUGUCUGAAAAGAGAUCAGAGAACAACUGCAGUCCUCAGGAGCACAGCCCAUUGCUUCUGCCCCUCCCCAGCACAGGCCACUGCUCUGUGCAGCCCAGAGCUCAGAGCACACCUUCCCCUCUGCACGUUAAGUACUGCUGUGCUACCAGCAAAAGUCCUGCUUGAAAUUGCUUUGCACACACGUUUCAGAGGACAUCAUAGCCUUGUCUGCUAUUUCCCAUCCCUAGAGCAGUGGCUGCCUGUUCCCCAGGUGCUGCUGGCUGCCCUGCACAGAGGUGCACUAACUCCCCUGUCUGAUGUUCCCAUUCUAUUCUGCAUCUCAUGUCCAAAUACACAACCUUUAUCUAUGGACCUGAUUUCUCUCUUGCCUGAACUGUGUGUUUCCCUCCUUUCUACUUUAACUCAGGUGAAAAAUAAGCCUCCUUUUCCUAUACCCAUGUCUAUGUAUAUGGAAACAGUUACACAAGUGAUGACACAGUCCUGCAGUGCACCACACCUUCUCCAUCAGCUACACAAUCCCUGUUUCUUCAGAUGAAAGAAAGCUGUUCCAUACCCAUUACAAGCCAUGCAGGGAGAAUAAACAGCAAACCCUAGGGGCUUCUGAUUUUUUUUGAGUUUCUUUUUCCUUAUUGUCAUAAUUGGUGAUUUUUUUCCUUUAUAGGAAAGACUUCUGCCUUCUCCCAUCCCUUAUUAUUAGCCACUUGUGGAAAUGGUGGAAGAGUUAGUGAGUGAAUGAAUCACUAGUGCAAAAGACUGGAGAAAAAACCGCCAUUUGUUCUCGAGUUGAACAAUAAUGUUGAAUUUCACUAGCCCUUUGGAGUUAAAAGAACUUCUAGAAAAAAUACAGGUCCCAGAACUUCCUUGAAAUUUGCACUGACUGGACUAAGAAAACAAAACUGGAGCUUUGCUUAACUGACUGAUGAAUGCAGUCAAUAGACUUUCCUAAAGCAUAAAGCAAAUGGAAGAUACAGCAGGCUUUGUUCCAUAGAGAAGCACAUUUCUGAAUUAAGUGUCUCCCAAAUAUGAAUUUUGCAAGCUGGUAAGUAUCCCAUCUCUAAAUUGGUGAUGAGGCUCUUAUCUUUCCUCCAUGUUUAGUUUUUUCCCCACAGAUGGCAAAAGCAGCAUCAUUCUCAUCAUAUCAAGAGGGAAGAUAAAGCCCCAAGAAGGUGUUGCUCUGGUUGAUUACCAAACACAGCCUCCAGGUCUUUCUGAUUUGUCCUCUACUGAUCUACACAUCAACAUCUACCGUUCCUAAAGCAACAGGUUCUUCUAGGCCAGCAAGGGAAUGGCAAACUCUGUAUGCCAUGACAUGCUAACAUGGCCUGGACUACAGAAGGCCAUCUGCAAAAUUACUUUUCCCCUUCAUACUCCUCUGGUUUAGGGCUCCAUCUCACUUGUUACCUGCUUCAGGGUUUUCAUUCUCACAUUGAACAGUGUGUGAAAACGCAGCUGCAAGAAAACAGAAAUCCUUUUCCAGAAACAUGUAUGGACGUGGCACAAUAGUCUGCAAAAUAUGCAACUCAGCCUUAAAGUGAUAACUUCAUCAUAACACUUUUUAAAGAUAUUCCUGAGAACCACUAUGUUAUGCCACUUUAAGGACUCACAAUUAAUUUCAACUUCAACUUCCCUCCAGCAACCACUUAAGGUCCAGACCAUGACAACAUUGUUUAUAUUUAUGCCUACAACUUUACAAAAGUCUUGCCAAUGUAGAUCUAUUGGUAAAGCUGCACAGAUCUGCCAUAAAGAGCCAGAGAUAGCUGAGAAGAGAAUGUGCAUCUACUUUUUUUACUUCAUCUGUGUUGCACUAACACUGUAACUUUCAACCCUUGCUCUUUGCAGACCUUAAAGAAUCUUUAAUAGAACCAUUCUAAAGCAAAUUUAAGUGCAGUAUCAAAAUUAGGUUUUUUGGGGGAUUUAAUGGGGUUUUUUUUCCCUACCCAUACUCCUAAUUUUCUCACUUUCAGAUUCACCCAUAGUCUCAACUUCAGCAGGCUCUCUGAACCAUGGGCUAGAAACCAGAGUUUUAACAAAUGUAAGGUACCAGACUGAGCACCCACAUGAAGGCACUGUGAGCUCAACACCAGAACAGUCCAAGAGGCCACUGAGCCUCCCACCUGAUGGCAGGAGCUCUGGCCA